GACGAAGGGGGCUAGCGUUGUUCGGAAUUACUGGGCGUAAAGCGAGUGUAGGUGGUUGUCCAAGUUGGAUGUGAAAGCCUUGAGCUCAACUCAAGAAAUGCAUUCAGGACUGGGCGGCUAGAGGACCGGAGAGGAUAGUGGAAUUCCCAGUGUAGUGGUGAAAUACGUAGAGAUUGGGAAGAACACCGGUGGCGAAGGCGGCAUCCUGGACCGGCAUUGACGCUGAGGCGCGAAAGCCAGGGGAGCAAACGGG
rnacentral:rRNA from 1 species